GUUAUGAGAUCUAAAGAUUCUCUGAGAACCGAGCGUUGCUCGGUUGGCUAGCUUCGCUGGUGAGCGAGCAGCCCGCGCGGGUUCGAUCCCUGGGAUCGUCACCCGCGUGUCUCACCGGGAUUUAUUCCCAAAUAAAUUUCCAGCUCUCCCGUGCCAGCGCCACAAUAGUAGAGUGACGUCCUCGUCACACACAAGGUUCUUAGGUGGCUUUGUGUAUCUCAUUAGUACGUGUGUGUAUAGUUGAUAGGUCUAGCAUGCGUGUAGGGGUGUGGGUGUGUGUGCGUGGUGGAGUGCGUUUGCACGUAUGUUCAGAUACUACAGCUUGUACUCAAAGUGGAGAGCUCUCAAAAAAAAAAAAUCUAAAGAUUCUCUUAGAGAGAGUAUAAUAGCAGACUAAUAGCUAGCUAUAAAUAUAUUUUAGUAAGAUAAAAGAUGAGAGAGAAGAACAGCGGGCUACAAAUUCGUAGUCAGCUAUAGCACGGACUACAAGACGUAAUGUGCAUAUAAUAGGUGGGAUCAUAUAUUAAUAGUAUAGUAAGCAACUAUUAUAUAAAUUAACUAUUAGAUUGGUUAUAAAUGAAUUAGAGUUAGUAGUGGGCUAUACUAUUAAACUUGCUCUUGGAGAUAACUAUGAAAAUUAGCAGAUGGAUUGCCAUGGCAGAGGGGAUCGAUCAGUACGAUCGAUUUGAAAUAAUAAUGCUCUUGUCUUCGCUUUACAUGUCAUAUCGGAGCCUCUUCAUCACUUUAUAGUACUCCGUACAUAUUUUUUUUGUAAGGUGCUAGUAUAUGUGUAAGCGAUUGGUGCGUGGUGGGGCCAUCGUGUUUGUGCGAUUGUGGGAUCGAUCGAUCUCACGAUGGAUGGGUACGGGUGCUCAUGCAGGCUGUGAUCGGUCGCAAUGAUUGAAAUGAUUUGAUUGAAAUGAUUUGCUACGCUUCGGUGCAGAAAUUAUUAAGUAAUUUUUAUUUAUUUUUUUUGACAAUCGGCUAUAAGUAAAAGGAAAAAAUAAUAAAAUGUGAGGGUUUAUUAGUAUUUAUCAUCAGACAAGCAAAUCAUUACUCGCGAUUUAAUGUGGAACAGAUUGAUAAUAUAUUGAUAAGUGCAUGUUAAAUACUAUAAAAAAUGAUAUAUAGAUUUGUUAAAAUAUUGUAAAAAUGAUGUGAGGGAUGAUGAUUAGAUAUACUUGCAGAUUGAUUUGUAGAAUUAAAUAAGUUAUAGAUGAUGUUGUAUGUUUGUAUGAUAUUAAAUAUGCAAUUAUUGAGUGUGUGAUGAUGUGCC
rnacentral:sRNA from 1 species